AAUUAGUUUCUAAUACAAAAGCUAAAAAAUAUUUAAAUAUAAUUUUAAUUCAAAUAAUAUAAACAAAUUGAAAAAUUACAUAAUAAUCACAACAACAUAUAACUUAUUUAUAAAAAUAAUAGUAAUAUUAUCUAAGAAAAUCCAUAAAAGUGCAGCAAAUAUAUAAAAAUAUAAUAAUAUUAAAAAGAAACAUAUUAACUUAAUUAAUACUUCAUAAUUAAUAACAAUAUUGGAUUUAAACUAAUGGCCAAAUAAUAUUAUAUGAAUACUCACCUUAAUCUCUUAAUGAUAAUUUUCGGAAUAAAUUUCAUCAUCAUGUAAAUAAUGCAGGAAUAUGGAGAACAGAAACUGUGUAACAACAAAUCUCUCUGACAGCUUAAUGAAUAUGAGAAAGUCAUAUUAUGAUAUUCUAUAAAAGAAAUCGAAAAAGUGUUUUGAACCAACCCCUACUCACAGAGGCAAAGGAUAAAUAACAACACUCAAACAUAUAUACAAAAGGAAUACAUAACAACAAAAGCUAAUAAAUCCUGCCAAUCGUCAUAUAUGUACGCUUUGUGGUUUUGUUUUCAUAAAAUAAAAUAAAAUAAAAUAACAGUAUAUAUAUAUACAUAUGUAUUUGGGCAUAUAAAAGAGCUUCACUUAUUGGCCUGACCAACCAAUAAGAGAAGAGUAGAAAACAAAAGCUCAAACCACCACCGGAAAUGCAAUGCACUAGAAAAACUCAUACACAUACAGGAGAAUUACAACAGCAGUCGUUUACUAAUGAAGUAUGAAAGAGAAUGAAAGAGAUGGAUUAAAUAUUGUAGGAAAGAGAAGUCUUGUGUAAAGAAAGUUUGUUCUUUUUUUAAAUAUUAACAAAAAACAAACAAAUAAUACUCAUACGCCUUCGUAAACGGCGGAAAAGGAAGAAUAACGUUUUUUACUGCAUUGUGUUUCUGUGUUUCUAAAAAAAAACAGUUUUUUCAUUGGUCUGAAGUACAAUAAAGGAUUUAUUUUUAGCUACCAAUGAUAUUCAAAUUACAAAGAAAUAAAUCCUUAACUACUUGAGACUAAAAUGUAAAUGUUUUUAUAGCUUUUUAAAAAAGAAGCCAAAAAUACAUUUAACAAACUGUUAAGCUAGUUUUUGGCAAGAUUUUAGCUUUUGAAGAUAAAGCUUAACCUAAACAAAAAGUAAUAUUUUACAAAGGAAAAAGAAUUAUUUUGAAAAUAAUCACAAAGGCUGAAAGCAUUAUUUAUAUCAUGAUUUAAACAUAAAUUAACUAAAUUUUAUUUUAUAA